rnacentral:sRNA from 1 species
UUCCACAGUACGUUCGGCGACGACAGC